AUUUUACGAGGUGCUGCAUGGUUGUCGUCAGCUCGUGCCGUGAGGUGUACGGGUUAAGUCCCAUGACGAGCGCAACCCUACCUUUAGUUGCCAUCAGGUAAUGCUGGGGACUCUAAAGGAACUGCCUACGCAAGUAGUGAGGAAGGUGGGGAUGACGUCAAAUCAGCACGGCCCUUACGUCCAGGGCUACACACGUGCUACAAUGGCCGAUACAGAGGGCAGCUACCUGGUGACAGGAUGCAAAUCUCCAAAGUCGGUCUCAGUUCGGAUCGGAGUCUGCAACCCGACUCCGUGAAGUUGGAUUCGCUAGUAAUCGCGCAUCAGCCAUGGCGCGGUGAAUACGUUCCCGGGCCUU
rnacentral:rRNA from 1 species